rnacentral:rRNA from 1 species
UACGUAGGCAGCAAGCGUUGUUCGGAGUUACUGGGCGUAAAGGGUGCGUAGGUGGCUUGGUAAGUCGGAUGUGAAAUCCCGGGGCUCAACCCCGGAACUGCAUUCGAUACUGCCAGGCUGGAGUACUGGAGAGGAGAUUGGAAUUUACGGUGUAGCAGUGAAAUGCGUAGAUAUCGUAAGGAAGACCAGUGGCGAAGGCGGAUCUCUGGACAGUUACUGACACUGAGGCACGAAGGCCAGGGAGCAAACGGG